rnacentral:rRNA from 1 species
GUCUUUUAGAAUUUUAUUUAAAGUCUAACCUGCCCAUUGAAUAAUUUAAAAGGCUGCGGUAUUUUGACCGUACAAAGGUAGCAUAGUCAUUAGUUUCUUAAUUGGGAACUUGUAUGAAUGGUUGAAUGAAAAAUUAACUUUUUUAUUUUAAGUGAAGAACUUUACUUUUUAAUCAAAAGGUUAAAAUGUAUUUAAAAGACGAGAAGACCCUAUAGAGUUUGAUAAUUUUUAUUUUAUUUUUAAUAAAGUUUAAUUAUAAUUUUAUUUUAAAAAUUAUUUUAUUGGGGUGAUAGUAUAAUUUAAUUAACUUAUAUUUAUUAUGUACAUUAAUAUAUGAUUUAUUGAUCCAUUAUUAAUGAUUAAAAGUUUAAAUUACCUUAGGGAUAACAGCGUAAUUUUUUUUUAAGUUCAUAUUAAUAAAAAAUUUUGCGACCUCGAUGUUGGAUUAAGAUUUAAUUUUAGGUGCAGCAGUUUAAAGUUUAAGUCUGUUCGACUUUUAAAUUCUUA